rnacentral:rRNA from 1 species
GGGCAACUACCACUCAGGGCCGGAAAGCUCUCCAAACUCGGUCAUUUAGAGGAAGUAAAAGUCGUAACAAGGUCUCCGUUGGUGAACCAGCGGAGGGAUCAUUACCGAGUUUACAACUCCCAAACCCAAUGUGAACGUUACCAAACUGUUGCCUCGGCGGGAUCUCUGCCCCGGGUGCGUCGCAGCCCCGGACCAAGGCGCCCGCCGGAGGACCAACCUAAAACUCUUAUUGUAUACCCCCUCGCGGGUUUUUUUAUAAUCUGAGCCUUCUCGGCGCCUCUCGUAGGCGUUUCGAAAAUGAAUCAAAACUUUCAACAACGGAUCUCUUGGUUCUGGCAUCGAUGAAGAACGCAGCGAAAUGCGAUAAGUAAUGUGAAUUGCAGAAUUCAGUGAAUCAUCGAAUCUUUGAACGCACAUUGCGCCCGCCAGUAUUCUGGCGGGCAUGCCUGUCCGAGCGUCAUUUCAACCCUCGAACCCCUCCGGGGGGUCGGCGUUGGGGAUCGGCCCUCCCUUAGCGGGUGGCCGUCUCCGAAAUACAGUGGCGGUCUCGCCGCAGCCUCUCCUGCGCAGUAGUUUGCACACUCGCAUCGGGAGCGCGGCGCGUCCACAGCCGUUAAACACCCAACUUCUGAAAUGUUGACCUCGGAUCAGGUAGGAAUACCCGCUGAACUUAAGCAUAUCAAUAAGCGGAGGAAAAGAAACCAACAGGGAUUGCCCCAGUAACGGCGAGUGAAGCGGCAACAGCUCAAAUUUGAAAUCUGGUCCCUAGGGCCCGAGUUGUAAUUUGUAGAGGAUGCUUUUGGUGAGGUGCCGCCCGAGUUCCCUGGAACGG